rnacentral:rRNA from 1 species
UACGUAGGGCGCGAGCGUUGUCCGGAAUUAUUGGGCGUAAAGAGCUCGUAGGCGGCCUGUUGCGUCCGCUGUGAAGUCCCAGGGCUUAACCCUGGGCGUGCAGUGGAUACGGGCAGGCUGGAGGCAGGCAGGGGAGAACGGAAUUCCCGGUGUAGCGGUGAAAUGCGCAGAUAUCGGGAGGAACACCGGUGGCGAAGGCGGGUCUCUGGGCAGUAACUGACGCUGAGGAGCGAAAGCAUGGGUAGCGAACAGG